rnacentral:lncRNA from 1 species
GGAGAUUUUGAUAAAUCAUGAGAGAAGAAACAACAUUCAUGGUGGUUAGAGGGAAAGGCAGAGUCCGGGUCUGUGAUGUUUUUGAGCCCGAUGAACUCGCAUUUCAGAAAGAGACUGUGAUCUUAGUAAGAUACGAUCUUGGGAGAAAAUAUGUCUCUAGUACGGCUGAUACAGAGGUUUCAUGCUCAACAGAAGUAGAAGAAGGAAGGAGAAGGGUUGUUUAGAUAUUUUUUUCUUUUUUUGGCGUUUCAGGUGUCCUAGACACAGCUUUUAUUUUGAGUUUUGUUUUUCAA